UACGUAGGGGGCAAGCGUUGUCCGGAUUUAUUGGGCGUAAAGAGCGUGUAGGCGGCCAGGUAGGUCUGGUGUGAAAACUCGAGGCUUAACCUCGAGAUGUCAUCGGAAACCAUCUGGCUAGAGUCCGGAAGAGGAGAGUGGAAUUCCUGGUGUAGCGGUGAAAUGCGCAGAUAUCAGGAAGAACACCUAUGGCGAAAGCAGCUCUCUGGGACGGUACUGACGCUGAGACGCGAAAGCGUGGGGAGCGAACAGG
rnacentral:rRNA from 1 species